GAUGAACGCUGGCGGCGUGCCUAACACAUGCAAGUCGAGCGAAGCACUUACUUUAGAUUUCUUCGGAAUGACGAAGUUUGUGACUGAGCGGCGGACGGGUGAGUAACGCGUGGGCAACCUGCCCUGUACAGGGGGAUAACAGUUAGAAAUGACUGCUAAUACCGCAUAAGCCCACAGCUUCGCAUGAAGCAGUGGGAAAAACUCCGGUGGUACAGGAUGGGCCCGCGUCUGAUUAGCUAGUUGGUAAGGUAACGGCUUACCAAGGCGACGAUCAGUAGCCGACCUGAGAGGGUGACCGGCCACAUUGGGACUGAGACACGGCCCAAACUCCUACGGGAGGCAGCAGUGGGGAAUAUUGCACAAUGGGGGAAACCCUGAUGCAACGACGCCGCGUGAGCGAUGAAGUAUUUCGGUAUGUAAAGCUCUAUCAGCAGGGAAGAAAGUGACGGUACCUGACUAAGAAGCCCCGGCUAACUACGUG
rnacentral:rRNA from 1 species